rnacentral:rRNA from 1 species
CAGAGGGUGCGAGCGUUGUCCGGAAUCACUGGGCGUAAAGGGCGCGUAGGUGGCUUGGUAAGUAGGGGUGGAAAUACUUGCGGCUCAACCGACAAGACUGCCUUCUAAACUAGCCUCGGCUUGAGCACAGUAGAGGCAGGUGGAAUUCCCGGUGUAGCGGUGGAAUGCGUAGAGAUCGGGAAGAACAUCGGUGGCGAAGGCGGCCUGCUGGGCGUGUUGCUGACACUGAGGCGCGACAGCGUGGGAGCAAACAGGAUU